CCAGUAGCGUAUAUUAAAGUUGUUGCAAUUAAAAAGCUCGUAGUUGAAUUUCGGGGUCAGUAGGUUGGUCGUGCCUAUGGUAUGUACUGGCUUUACUGAUUCCUCCUUCUUGAAGAACUGUAAUGUCAUUAAUUUGGUGUUGCAGGGAAACAGGACUGUUACUUUGAAAAAAUUAGAGUGUUUAAAGCAGGCUAACGCUUGAAUACAUUAGCAUGGAAUAAUGAAAUAGGACGUUCGAUCCUAUUUUGUUGGUUUCUAGGAUUGACGUAAUGAUUAAUAGGGAUAGUUGGGGGCAUUAGUAUUCAAUUGUCAGAGGUGAAAUUCUUGGAUUUAUUGAAGACUAACUACUGCGAAAGCAUUUGCCAAGGAUGUUUUCAUUAAUCAAGAACGAAAGUUAGGGGAUCGAAGACGAUCAGAUACCGUCGUAGUCUUAACCAUAAACUAUGCCGACUAGGGAUCGGAUGAUGUUAAUUUUUUAAUGACUCAUUCGGCGCCUUACG
rnacentral:rRNA from 1 species